rnacentral:tRNA from 1 species
AGUACUCGGCUUUUAAGUGCG